rnacentral:lncRNA from 1 species
UAUAAAAAUAAUACUUGAAGUAUUGGACAUUAACUCUUACAGGCUCCAAGAAGCUGUGGCAUGUGCAGUGGUCACACUCUGGUAAAACCUUCUCAGUGGACAGGCUAAACCAGAUUGAGGGAAACAACAGGCUUCAACCUCAACAAUGAGUCGGAGGGAUGUCUACCCUAAGCAACUGAAGACUUCCUCUGGUUAUUCCAGUGUUGUCACACAAUAUAAAUUUCCUUAUCCCUCAUGCCAUGGAAGAAUACAUAUGAAAAAAAUUCAUGAAAGAAAUAAGAAUAUGGAUUGACCUGAGUACCUUCUUUAGAAUGAGUUUCUGAAAGAAGCUUUCCACUUUUUACCCUCUACUAAUCAUGGAAGGAGAGAUCCCAGGGAAAGAGAGCACUGACAAAAUAUGAGUUCCAAAGCUGAAGUAGUCUCGUUGGUUGCAGAUGUUCCCAGGAUAUGAUGGAGUUCAGAAGAAUGCAGCCAGGUGAGAAAUGAUCAUAAUUUCUUAUAAUGCAUUAAUAUUUGGAUUUUA